rnacentral:snoRNA from 1 species
CAGAUACAGUGAUGAUGGCAUAGUUCAGCAGAAUAUCAUGUGAAGAAGAAUUUUGUCUUUCGCUCCUAUCUGAUGUAUCUA